GACGAACGCUGGCGGCGUGCUUAACACAUGCAAGUCGAACGAAGUGGCGAACGGGUGAAUAACGCGUAAUCAACCUGCCCUUCAGAGGGGGACAACCGUUGGACACGACUGCUAAUACCGCAUACUGAAGGUGGGGAUUCCGUCUGAUUAGCUAGUUGGUGGGGUAAAGGCCCACCAAGGCGAUGAUCAGUAGCCGGGCUUAGAGGAUGAACCGCCACAUUGGGACUGGGACACGGCCCAGACCCCGAAGGGAGGCAGCAGUGGGGAAUCUGCCGCAAUGGGCGAAAAGCUGACGGAGCAACGCCGCGUGAGUUAUGAAGGCCUUCGGGUUGGAAAGCUCUGUUAAUCAGGACGCGGUACCGGAAUAGAAAGCCACGGCUAACUACGUGCCAGCCGCCGCGGUAAUUC
rnacentral:rRNA from 1 species